UACGGGGGGGGCAAGCGUUGUUCGGAAUUACUGGGCGUAAAGGGCUCGUAGGCGGCCAACUAAGUCAGACGUGAAAUCCCUCGGCUUAACCGGGGAACUGCGUCUGAUACUGGAUGGCUAGAGUUUGGGAGAGGGAUGCGGAAUUCCAGGUGUAGCGGUGAAAUGCGUAGAUAUCUGGAGGAACACCGGUGGCGAAGGCGGCAUCCUGGACCAACACUGACGCUGAGUGAGCGAAAGCCAGGGGAGCAAACGGG
rnacentral:rRNA from 1 species